GGGCUCGUAGCUCAGUUGGUCAGAGCAUUCGGUUUACAUCCGAAGGGUCAGAGGUUCAAAUCCUCUCGAGCCCA
rnacentral:tRNA from 1 species